rnacentral:rRNA from 1 species
UGGGGAAUAUUGGGCAAUGGGCGAAAGCCUGACCCAGCGACGCCGCGUGAGGGAAGAAGGUCUUCGGAUUGUAAACCUCUUUCAGCAGGGAAGAAGAAAGUGACGGUACCUGCAGAAGAAGUCACGGCUAACUACGUGCCAGCAGCCGCGGUAAUACGUAGGUGGCGAGCGUUAUCCGGAAUUACUGGGUGUAAAGGGUGUGUAGGCGGGAAUGCAAGUCAGACGUGAAAUCUACGGGCUCAACCUGUAAAUUGCGUUUGAAACUGUAUUUCUUGAGUAUGGGAGAGGUAAACGGAAUUCCUGGUGUAGUAGUGAAAUGCGUAGAUAUCAGGAGGAACACCGGUGGCGAAGGCGGUUUACUGGACCAUAACUGACGCUGAGACACGAAAGCGUGGGGAGCAAACAGG